rnacentral:rRNA from 1 species
GACAGAGGGUGCAAACGUUGUUCGGAAUUACUGGGCGUAAAGCGAGUGUAGGCGGUUUGGUAAGUCGGAUGUGAAAGCCCCGGGCUCAACCCGGGAAGUGCACUCGAUACUGCCAAGCUAGAGUAUCGGAGAGGUUGGUGGAAUUCUCGGUGUAGCGGUGAAAUUCGUAGAUAUCGGGAGGAACACCGGUGGCGAAGGCGGGUCUCUGGGCCGUAACUGACGCUGAGGAGCGAAAGCGUGGGGAGCGAACAGG